GCUGGGUGUGGUGGUGUGCACCUGUAAUCCCAGCUACUCAGGAGGCUGAGGCAGAAGAAUGGCUUGAACCCAGGAGGGAGAUGGAGGUUGCAGUGAGGCGAGAUCGUGCCACUGCACUCCAGCCUGGGCGACAGAGUCAGACUCUGUCUCAA
rnacentral:SRP_RNA from 1 species